rnacentral:tRNA from 3 species
GGUGGGUUGGCCGAGAGGCGAGGCAGCGGCCUGCAAAGCCGUACACACGGGUUCGAGUCCCGUACCCACCU